GACGAACGCUGGCGGCGUGCUUAACACAUGCAAGUCGAACGGAAAGGCCCUGCUUUUGUGGGGUGCUCGAGUGGCGAACUGGUGAGUAACACGUGAGUAACCUGCCCUUGACUUUGGGAUAACUUCAGGAAACUGGGGCUAAUACCGGAUAGGAGCUCCUGCUGCAUGGUGGGGGUUGGAAAGUUUCGGCGGUUGGGGAUGGACUCGCGGCUUAUCAGCUUGUUGGUGGGGUAGUGGCUUACCAAGGCUUUGACGGGUAGCCGGCCUGAGAGGGUGACCGGCCACAUGGGGACUGAGAUACGGCCCAGACUCCUACGGGAGGCAGCAGUGGGGAAUAUUGCACAAUGGGCGGAAGCCUGAUGCAGCAACGCCGCGUGCGGGAUGACGGCCUUCGGGUUGUAAACCGCUUUCGCCUGUGACGAAGCGUGAGUGACGGUAAUGGGUAAAGAAGCACCGGCUAACUACGU
rnacentral:rRNA from 1 species